UCCUACGGGAGGCAGCAGUGGGGAAUAUUGGACAAUGGGCGGAAGCCUGAUCCAGCAACGCCGCGUGAGGGAUGACGGCCUUCGGGUUGUAAACCUCUUUCAGCAUUGACGAAGUUGCAUCUUUUUGGGUGUGGUGACGGUAGGUGCAGAAGAAGGACCGGCCAACUACGUGCCAGCAGCCGCGGUAAUACGUAGGGUCCGAGCGUUGUCCGGAAUUAUUGGGCGUAAAGGGCUCGUAGGCGGUUUGUCGCGUCGGGAGUGAAAACCAGCAGCUUAACUGCUGGCCUGCUUUCGAUACGGGCAGACUUGAGGCAUUCAGGGGAGAACGGAAUUCCUGGUGUAGCGGUGAAAUGCGCAGAUAUCAGGAGGAACACCGGUGGCGAAGGCGGUUCUCUGGGAAUGUUCUGACGCUGAGGAGCGAAAGUGUGGGGAGCGAACAGGAUUAGAUACCCUGGUAGUCCACACCGUAAACGUUGGGCGCUAGGUGUGGGAUCCAUUCCACGGGUUCCGUGCCGCAGCUAACGCAUUAAGCGCCCCGCCUGGGGAGUACGGCCGCAAGGCUAAAACUCAAAUGAAUUGACGGA
rnacentral:rRNA from 1 species